GUUGAGGAUAAUAGAACUCCUAAAUAAUUAAUUGGAAAAUUUAAUAGUACUUUAUCUAUUGCUAUUUCUAGAUUAUAAUUUUUUAAUAAGUUUGUAAGUGUGGCAUAACAUUCUAGCAAUGUGUUUUUAUCUUUGAGUGCUAAUAAUACAUUGUCCUUAUAGUGAAAUAUUUGUAGUUCAGGAUUUUGGUUUCUAAGUGGCUGAAUUGCUUUGUUAACAUAAAUUUGACACAUAGUUGGGCUGUUAACUAUCCCUUGAGGGAGUACUUUCCAUUCAUAUCUCUGAUCGGGACCUUCAUGAUUCAGUGCAGGGAUAGUAAAUGUAAAACGUGGACUAUCCUCAGGAUGAAUUGGAAUUGAAAAAAAACAAUCUUUAAUAUCUAUAACCAAAACAUACCAGGUUUUUGGCAAAGCAGACAAUUGGGGAAUCCCCGAUUGAGCAGGUCCCAUAAUAACCAUCUCAUUAUUAAUGGCUCUUAAAUCUUGCAAUAAUCUCCAUUUACCAGAUUUCUUUUUGAUGACAAAAAUGGGAGUAUUAUGGGGAGAUAUGAAAGGUUGUAUAUGUCCUUCCGCUAAUUGUUGUUUGACCAGGUCAUGGGCUGUUUGUAUCUUUUCUUUAGUCAGGGGCCACUGAGGAACCCAUACUGGUCUUUCUGAUUUCCAAGUAAUUUUUAUUGUCUCAGUUACCCCUCCUGAAAACCCAAUCCAUGUCUACCUAUUUCUUGAUCUAUUUGUAUUGGUACCACUAUACUUUGUCCUUUUUCUCCUAAUACUUUUCCUUUCCUAAAACCUUGUCUAGCCAUAAUAGUGGGCACAUUUGGAUUGGUAUUAUUUGUUAAUGUCAAACCUAAUUGAUCUAGGACAUCUCAUCCCCAUAAAUUUAUAGGAAGAUGAUCCAAUACAUAUGGCUGUAUAGUUCCUUCACAUCCUUCAGGAUCCUUCCAAUCUAAUACCAUUGCACUUCUAUGGGAUUAGUCACCACUCCUAGGCCUCGAAGUGUUUGAGUGGCUUGUUGUAACAGCCAAUGUUUUGGCCAUUCUUGACAAGAUAUGAUGCUAAGGUCUGCACCUGUAUCCAGUAGUCCAUUAAAUUCAUGUCCUUGAAUAUUUAGUUUUAGCAUUGGGCGAGAGUCUAAAUUUAAAGACAGCAUAGCCCAAUCUACACCUGUGGAGCCUAACCUCCUGGAACCUCUUUCUAUAGUACAGCUGGAAAAUUUAUCAUGUAGGCUGGGUAUUAUUAAUAACUGUGCUAUUCCAUCUCCUGGUGAAAUUACUGAUAUACCCCUUGGAGAACUGGCUAUAAUUUUUAUUUCACCUUCUUAAUCGGGAUCAAUUACCCCAGGACUUAUCAUAAGUCCUUUUAGAGUAGAAGAACUGCGUCCCAAUAAUAAGCCUACUGUUCCUCGGGGAAGAGGUCCUUUUACCCCUGUGGGAAUGAUUUGAACUCCCAUCUCUGGAGUUAGUACUGCUCUGGCGGGGGCACAGAUGUCAUUAGCCCAAUGUCUCCCUCUAUGGCAUUGUGGGCAAAUACCCGGUAUUCUACCCCAUUGAUCAUAUCCAGUUUUGUUAAACCCUCCUCCUAUGGGGCAACUCCUUCUAAAAUGUCCUGUUUGUUCACAAUUGUAGCAUGUUUUUGGCCUGGCAUCUAAAGCAUGUUGUACUGCAGCUGUCAAGACUUGCCCUUGUUCAUUAAUGUCUCUACAUAAUUUAAUAUAUGUGUUUAAAUCUUCAUGUUUCCAUGGUCUAAUGGCCUCCUUGCACCAUCGAUUUGCCUGUUCAUAGGCUAGCUGUUUAAUUAAUGGCAUUGCUUGUUCUGUAUCCCCAAAAACUCUGGUAGCUGUUUGAAUAAGCCUAUCUACAAAUUCAGUGUAAGGUUCAUUAGCUCCUUGUAUUACCUUAGAUAAUUGACCGUGAAAAUCUCCAUGUCCUUGUAAAGUCUUCCAUGCCCUAACUGCAUCUGCAGCAAUUUGUGAGUAUAUGGCAGGAUCAUAUCCAAUUUGUUGCUGCUGACCCUCAUAAGGUCCCUUUCCUAACAACAUAUCUAGAUUUCUCUGAGGAUAACCGGCUGCUGCAUUUCGCCUAGCCGUCUCCGUGCAAAAUUCCUGAUUGGCAACCUUCCAUUGUCCUCCAUUUAGCACAGCUUUGCACAUACUAGUCCAAUCUGCUGGCGUCAUGUUCAAGUUGGUAAUGGAUUCGACCAUGCGUACAGUGAAGGGCGCUUGAGGACCAUAGGUUGUUAUGGCCUCUUUCAGCUGCUUCACUGUUUUGAAAUCUAAAACAUGGUAAUUUCGCUGCCCUCCUCCCUCCUCAAAUACAGGGCAUGCUAAUCUUUGAGGUCCUGUCUCAGGAUCCCGUCUAUCAACUACAGGGGUUGAGGGCCACUCAGCAUACGCUGUCUCCAUAGGUGGAGCUGUUGGUUGAAUUACGCCCUCUGGUAAUAGAACGGUGUUAGUAGCAUCUUCCUGUUGUAACUUUUCCCCUGAUAGCUUUUUCUGCUCUAACAUUUUUUUUAGAGAGAGAGAGAAUUUUUAAUAUUUAAUUUUUUUUUUUUAAUUUUCGGCGGACACAACAUCUUUGUAUGUGGUGCUGAGGAUCGAACCCGGGCCGCACUCAUGCCAGGCAAGCGCGCUACCACUUGAGCCACAUCCCCAGCCCACUUUUUCUGCUCUAAACUUUCUUCCCCUUUCUGACUAUCUCGAGAGGCCUCCUCUUUUUCCUGAUCUAAUAUGUAUUCUACCAUAAUCUGAACUGAAAGCUUUGGACUAGGCAAACAAAAUCGUAUCAUCAUCCACAAUGGCAAUGUGCCAACUGACAGAGUUCCUGGGUUUUCCUUUUCUAUCCUUUUUAAAUCUUCACCAUGAUGGUUCCAUUGUGAUAUAUUUAAUAACCUCUCUUUAAUGAAUCAUGGGCUACACCUUUGUAUCGUCUUAACGUAUGCCCUAACUGUUCUUGAUUUUACUGAGAUGCCUCCUUCCUCUAGCAAUUUACUUAACACCCUUUUGGUUUGGUUUUUACUAAUUUUUAAUUCCACCUCUCAACCGCUCCUUCUGGCAAAAUGCUAGGUGCCAUCCCGACUCGGCUGUGGCUCUCUACAAUGAAUGUUAUGAUUUAUAUAUGAGGUGUCCCACAAAAGCUCAUGUGAGAGCCAAUGCAAAAAGGUUCAGAGGUGAAAUGGUUGGGCCAUGAGAGCAUUAACCUAAUCGGUGCUAAUCCACUGAUCGGGAUUAACUGGAUGGUAACUGUAGGACAUAGGGUGUGGCUGGAGGAGGUGGGUCAUUGGGGGUAUGUCUUUGGAGCUUAUAUUUUUGUCCUUGUAAAGCAGAGUUUAUUCUCUCUGCUUCUUGCUGGCCGUGUCCUGACCUGCUUUUGUACACCACAACCUUCCACCAUGAUGUUCUGCCUCAUCCUGACCCUUGAGGAGCUGGCUGUCUAUGAACUGAGAACUCCGAAACCAAGAGUCUCUACAUAAACUUCCCCUCUAAUUGUUCUUCUUGGGUCUUUUAGUCACAGCAGGGGGAAAAAACUGACUAAAUAGUUAUCUUAAGUCCAGGAGCUAAUUAAAGGUUGUACAUUACUUUUUUUGUUUUUCCAGGGAUUGAACUCCGGGACACUCAGCCACUGAGCCACAUCCCCAGGCCUAUUUUGUAUUUUAUUUAGAGACAGGGUCUCACUGAGUUGCUUAGUGCCUUGCCAUUGCUGAGGCUGGCUUUGAACUUGAGAUCCUCCUUCCUCAGCCUCCUGAGCUGCUGGGAUUACAGACAUGCGCCACCAUGCCCAGAGUGCAUUACAUGUGAUUGUGUCUCUUUAGGCUCUUUUUUGGGGGGUGGGGUACAGGGGAUUGAACUCAGGGACACUCAGACACUGAGCCACAUCCCUGGCCCUAUUUUGUGUUUUAUUUAGAGACAGAGUCUCACUGAGUUGCUUAGUGCCUUGCCAUUGCUGAGGCUGGCUUUGAACUUGAGAUCCUCCUGCCUCAGCCUCUUGAGCUGCUGGGAUUAUAGGUGCGUGCCACCACACCUAGCUGCUUUAGGCUCUUUUAAUCUGGAAUAUGCUACCUUGCUUUUUGUCGUUGUUGUGACACUGACUUGGUACAGAUGCAUUCCAGAGCCCACCCAUGUUGACACUCACUGCCCUUCAUCCCAAGUGGUAUGGAGUCAUGGUCUUGGCAGAGGUGCUCAUUAGCAAGUAACGGCCAGUACAUUUUUUUUUUUCUCUUCUGCAAAUAGGAAGCAGGUCUUACUUUGAGAAUAGCGUGAUCUUUUUAAAGCAUAAAUGUCACUACCAUCUUCCACUGCCCUCAGAAUGAGGAGCCAGAUCCUUAGAAAUUAGAGCCAGGGAUGUGGCUCAGUGGUUGAGUGCUCCUGAGUUCAGUCUCUGGUACCCUCCCCCCCAAAAUGGCAAGGGUGUAGCCAAAGGGAGAGGAUGCCUUGGCCACACUGGUGGCUGAAUGGUUAAGGCCUGGGGCAGUGUGGGAACUAUGGCCUAGGCAGGAGAGGUGAUAAGCUAGAGUCAGGCCAAAACAACAUUGGAAGUGCUGGAUGUGGAGACUGAGAUCAGGGGACCCAGUGGCCAGACAGGCAUAGAGGGGCUAAGGAAGGCCCACAGGACCAGAGGCCACAGACACAUCUCGAUAACAUGCUUCCACAUCCAUUGCCUCAGCCACCAGGGGCAGGACUGCAGGCCACACCUCUAACCCAUCUCCUGCUCCCUGGGAACAUCUCCUCCUGGCUGCAGCACUUCCCUUAAAGUGCCUUGCAGCCCCCACCCUGGUGCAGACUUCCCUGCCUAGGUGGUCCUGCUAUCCCUGCACUCCUGGCUGUGUUGUCUCUGACACUCUAUUCACACCUUCCAUGCAGCCCUUUGCUCUGAGCUAUCUCUUGAUCUUGACCCACUGCUCUGAGGUGACAUGAACAGUGCCUGUGGCUGUAUGACUCCUCCUGUACUGAGCUAGAGGUCAUCUUAGAGGUGAGACCUGAAGGACAGAGGAGAGUUAAGUAGGAGGUGCGUUUAGGAAACAAAAAAUGAGACCUUGUCAGAGAGGGGGAGUGCUGUGGCAGAGAAGGGUAGAGGCAGAAGGCCCACCCUGAGCUGAGCUGUCAGCAGGGACCCGAGCUGUCAGCAGGAUGGGCCUAGAGCUUACCCAGAGGCUGACUAGCUAGGGUGUGGGCAGCAGGUACAGCAGAUGGCUGGGGAGAUGCGGGGAGGUGGAGUCACAAGGUAGGGUGAUGGGGUAUGGGAGGAGGACAUGUUGUCCCUGUCAGCAGCAUGCUUUUCAGGAAGACCUGCCCAGCUCUGGCCUAAAGCAAAUGCUUUAACCAAAUGUAUUUCCUUCAGUCCCUAACUUAAAACUGUGCAGUUCUCAAGUGCCAGGUGGGGAAACCGAGGCUUAGGGAGGUGAAGUGACUAAUUGAGGACACACUUAUUUGGGAACACCCCCAUGUAACUCAGCAGCCCAUUCUUGAGUGUGUGGCCCUGACUUGAGAUGGCUUGGCUUAAGGAGGAGUGAAAGCUAGGGGCAGGGCAGGGAGGCCUGGGUCAGCUCCCAGCCCAUUUGUAACCACACAGUGGUCGAGACUUGUAGGAGGGUUUGGUGGGAGGAGAGAGCCAGACAGUGGCAACAGCGAGAGGGAGAAGGCUGAGAGUGUUGUUAGAAAGAAGUGGCAGUGACAUCACAGCCUUAAGAAUCCAAGGAAGGGGGCUGGGGCUGUAGCUCAGUGGCAGGGCGAUUGCCUGGCAUGUGUGAGGCACUGGGUUCGAUCCUCAGCAC
rnacentral:lncRNA from 1 species